GUUGUUUUGUUCGAGCACUUGUUGACUUUUUUUUCUUUCGAUAUAUGAAGUCUUGAAUAGCAACACUUAUAUAUGGUUACAUUACAGGACUAUACCACAUUUUAUCCGUGUAUUUUUUAAUGCGUAGAACAUGCAUGAAUUAAAAAAUAUAACUGAUUGAUUUUGUAGAUGAAAUGGGCAAAUUUUGUAAGAAUUAUCCUCAUCCUGAUAUUCAUAAUGUCCUUCGCUUUGGCACAGGGAUGGAGACGUA
rnacentral:lncRNA from 1 species